CUCCCUGCCAGGAGCCAUCAGCCCUGUGUGUUCUGCAGUGUUCUGAGCCUCCGGGUGGGGAAAGAGCAAUUCUUGAUCCUGAGCUUCUGCCACGUGGAGAACUAGGCCCUUCCGGCCUGUUUCCUGGGUUCCUGAGGCACAGAG